UCUCCCUCCUGUGCUUGCUCCCGCUGCGCGCUUACGUCAACUAGGAGCACACCUGUAUAUUGAUUACAGGGCGGCGUUUACCUGUAUAAAGAGAAGCCGGGUUCUUUCCUUGGAUUAUUUCCUCCCGAGCUUCUGGUGCGAUACAGCGGUAGACGCUGGCUUGUUGGUUAAAUUACUGAGGUGAUCAGGUCGUGUGAUUGCUACAGCGCGGCUGUUUUUCUUUCCUUUGCUCCAGCCGUGGUGAGGAGACGCGUGAGUGCAUCCGCCGUGCAGUACAGCGCCUCCAAGUUCUGGGGGUUUGAUUGCUGCCGUGCCCUCUCGGGGACCAACCGCCUGCUUUGGUUACGUAUAGAGUCGGGCGCCUGCUCUGCUGCUGUCUUGUUUUGUUGAUUUUGUUUGUUUGAUUUUGUUUUGUGUUGUUUUGUUUAUAUUACGGUUAAUCUGUCGGCGGCCCAGUUUCUCCUUGCAGCUUGCCUUGCCACGCCCUCUUGGACUAUCGUUCGCUCCAGCUUUUUGUGGCUAGCCGGGGCGAUUCUCGGCUGUAUAUUGGGCUGGUUAUACAAACUGGUACUGCCUUUCCCCUUUCUCCCAGCUGUGGGAAGUUGUGUGAGACUGAGCAGACCAAAGACAAUCGGACCCAGCACCAGCUGUGGGCUGGUUCGCAGAGCGAAAGUAUUUCUAAUCAGUGCUCUGUGGUGUAUAACUGGGUGUGUUGUAUUACAGAUUUUUGUUUUCCUUUAAUUGCUUCUUUUUUUUGUUUUGUAGGUUGAGAGCCUGUUUGUGUCCCAUGUUUUUCACCUUUUAAUGUGUAUGUUUUGUAUUUUUAUUGUAGUGGACGGAGGAUUUACCAGCGGCUGUGGGACCGUAGGUGGUGGGUCAUUUUCCACGUUUCUUUUGUUGUACAGCACCAGGUGAAAAGACUGUAGUAGGUUUCCUUUGUGUGGUUUUGUUUUGGUCCACCGCUGCUGGUAAUCCCCGGUUGUAUAUAUAUUCUUUCUUGUAAACUGGGACGCUGUUUUAAAUAUUCAGUGUGUUGUUGUUUUUUUCAUGUUAUAUAAUAAAUUCAAUUGUGUUCAUAUUUGAACCGGCCUCACCGUGCAUCCCUGAACCUGUGCGAACGUAAUUGUCCUAACUA